AGAGCGAACGCUGGCGGCAGGCUUAACACAUGCAAGUCGAGCGCCCCCGCAAGGGGAGCGGCAGACGGGUGAGUAACACGUGGGAACGUACCCUUUGGUUCGGAACAACCCAGGGAAACUUGGGCUAAUACCGGAUAAGUCCGUAAGGAGAAAGAUUUAUCGCCAAAGGAUCGGCCCGCGUCUGAUUAGCUAGUUGGUAGGGUAAUGGCCUACCAAGGCUACGAUCAGUAGCUGGUCUGAGAGGAUGAUCAGCCACAUUGGGACUGAGACACGGCCCAAACUCCUACGGGAGGCAGCAGUGGGGAAUAUUGGACAAGUGGGCGCAAGCCUGAUCCAGCCAUGCCGCGUGAGUGAUGAAGGCCUUAGGGUUGUAAAGCUCGUUUUAGCGGGAAGAGUAAUGACGGUACCCGCAAGAAAACGCCCGGAUAACGUCGUGCCAGCAGCCGAC
rnacentral:rRNA from 1 species